UGAGAGACAGCAGUUGGCAAGACAGUGAGAGACAGCAAGAGAUGGCAAGUGACAGUUAUUGUUAAGAUGACAAAUGGAGAGAUGGCAAGAAAUAGAGAAGCAGUCAGUGAUGGAGGCUGCAAGAGUUGUAACACUAACCAAAGGCUCUUUUUAGAAUCAUCGUUUUCCCUGGCAGGUGGUACAGCCAAGCAGACAGGCAAGUAAGUGGCCAUACUGCUACUGCCUCAUGUAGGAUCCGGCAGGCUGGUGGGUUAUCAGUCCUCACGUGGGACCCUCCCACCAUGGCAGCUGAGCACAUCCAAGCUGGGGGAUCCUGAAGAGACCUUCACCUGGGUGCCACGUGGAAGAUUGGCCAGCACCAUUUUGACUCCUGUGGAUGGCACCCAAACUGCACCUGGUCACCUGUCUACAUUCAGAUUUAGAUGAAAGCCACACCAUGGAGGCAGCCAGAGGCCCAUGGGAGAUGUCUGGAUUCGCAGAGGAAUAGCUCCAUGUGAUGCAAACCUUGACUAAUGGGAACAGGAAAAGGGAGGAAACCAGGAAGAUAAAUCUCCCUCCCUUCUCAUUGCUCCUUGCAACCCUUCCCACUUGAAGCAUGACCACAUUUAAUGAACAACCUGCUGUGUCUCUUGGAAGCUUGCUGCAAGGCAGCAAUCAGCACAAUAACAUUGUAUUGUAUCUUCCUCUGCUUCACUUCUCUUCCUCCCUCACCCUCACUGCCCUGAGCUGGCACAUCCCAAAGAAAGCAUUACCACAUUAA
rnacentral:lncRNA from 10 species